rnacentral:rRNA from 1 species
UACGUAGGGUGCGAGCGUUGUCCGGAAUUAUUGGGCGUAAAGAGCUUGUAGGCGGUUUGUCGCGUCUGCUGUGAAAAUCCGAGGCUCAACCUCGGACUUGCAGUGGGUACGGGCAGACUAGAGUGUGGUAGGGGAGACUGGAAUUCCUGGUGUAGCGGUGGAAUGCGCAGAUAUCAGGAGGAACACCGGUGGCGAAGGCGGGUCUCUGGGCCGUUACUGACGCUGGAGGAGCGAAAGCGUGGGGAGCGAACAGG